GAGUUUGAUCCUGGCUCAGGACGAACGCUGGCGGCGUGCCUAACACAUGCAAGUCGAACGGAGUAGAGACUUCGGUUUUUACUUAGUGGCGAACGGGUGAGUAACGCGUGAGAAACCUGCCUUUCAGUGGGGGACAACAGUUGGAAACGACUGCUAAUACCGCAUAAUGUAUCGAGGGGGCAUCCUCUUGAUACCAAAGAUUUAUUGCUGAAAGAUGGUCUCGCGUCUGAUUAGCUAGUUGGUGAGGUAACGGCUCACCAAGGCGACGAUCAGUAGCCGGUCUGAGAGGAUGAACGGCCACAUUGGGACUGAGAUACGGCCCAGACUCCUACGGGAGGCAGCAGUGGGGAAUAUUUGGCAAUGGGGGAAACCCUGACCCAGCAACGCCGCGUGAAGGAAGAAGGCCUUCGGGUUGUAAACUUCUUUUACCAGGGACGAAGAACGUGACGGUACCUGGAGAAAAAGCAACGGCUAACUACGUGCCAGCAGCCGCGGUAAUACGUAGGUUGCAAGCGUUGUCCGGAUUUACUGGGUGUAAAGGGCGUGUAGGCGGAGAUGCAAGUUGGGAGUGAAAUCCCGGGGCUCAACCCCGGAACUGCUUUCAAAACUGCAUCCCUUGAGUAUCGGAGAGGCAAGCGGAAUUCCUAGUGUAGCGGUGAAAUGCGUAGAUAUUAGGAGGAACACCAGUGGCGAAGGCGGCUUGCUGGACGACAACUGACGCUGAGGCGCGAAAGCGUGGGGAGCAAACAGGAUUAGAUACCCUGGUAGUCCACGCUGUAAACGAUGAAUACUAGGUGUGGGAGGACUGACCCCUUCCGUGCCGCAGUUAACACAAUAAGUAUUCCACCUGGGGAGUACGACCGCAAGGUUGAAACUCAAAGGAAUUGACGGGGGCCCGCAC
rnacentral:rRNA from 1 species